GAAACUCAAAGGAAUUGACGGGGGCCCGCACAAGCGGUGGAGCAUGUGGUUAAUUCGAAGCAACGCGAAGAACCUUACCAGGCCUUGACAUGCAGAGAACUUUCCAGAGAUGGAUUGGUGCCUUCGGGAACUCUGACACAGGUGCUGCAUGGCUGUCGUCAGCUCGUGUCGUGAGAUGUUGGGUUAAGUCCCGCAACGAGCGCAACCCUUGCCUUUAGUUGCCAGCAGUUCGGCUGGGCACUCUAAAGGGACUGCCGGUGUUAAACCGGAGGAAGGUGGGGAUGACGUCAAGUCCUCAUGGCCUUUAUGACCAGGGCUACACACGUACUACAAUGGCCGAUACAAAGGGCAGCGACACUGCGAGGUGAAGCCAAUCCCGUAAAACCGAUCGUAGUCCGGAUCGCAGUCUGCAACUCGACUGCGUGAAGUCGGAAUCGCUAGUAAUCGUGAAUCAGAAUGUCACGGUGAAUACGUUCCCGGGCCUU
rnacentral:rRNA from 1 species